ensembl:misc_RNA
GGGUGAUUGAUCGUACCCGCCAGCCGGCUAAUAUCAUAAUUAACAAAGUUACUAUACGUCUACAAAGUUUAAUCGAAAAAUUUGCCGGUGAUAUGAUGGUAUUGUCAUAAAGAUCACAAGGGACACAGAGUGUCGACUUCUGCUCAAGGUGGAGCGGCAGAGCUGUGUAGGCAAGAUGAGAAACGGCCAACUUGUUCAGCCAAA